rnacentral:rRNA from 1 species
UACGGAGGGUGCAAGCGUUAUCCGGAUUCACUGGGUUUAAAGGGUGCGUAGGUGGGUCUGUAAGUCAGUGGUGAAAUCUCCAAGCUUAACUUGGAACUGCCGUUGAUACUAUAGAUCUUGAAUGUUGUGGAGGUGAGCGGAAUAUGUCAUGUAGCGGUGAAAUGCUUAGAUAUGACAUAGAACACCGAUUGCGAAGGCAGCUCACUAAACUGUAACUGACGCUGAGGCACGAAAGCGUGGGGAGCAAACAGG